ensembl:snRNA U6 U6 spliceosomal RNA
GUGCUCACUUUAACACACAUGUGCUAAAAAUUGGAAUGAUAUAGAGAUUAGCAUGACCCCUGGGCAAGGAUGACACACAAAUUUAUGAAGAUUCCAUAAAAAAA